rnacentral:rRNA from 1 species
CAGCAGCCGCGGUAAUACGAAGGGUGCAAGCGUUAAUCGGAAUUACUGGGCGUAAAGCGCGCGUAGGUGGUUUGGUAAGAUGGAUGUGAAAUCCCCGGGCUCAACCUGGGAACUGCAUCCAUAACUGCCUGACUAGAGUACGGUAGAGGGUGGUGGAAUUUCCUGUGUAGCGGUGAAAUGCGUAGAUAUAGGAAGGAACACUAGUGGCGAAGGCGACCACCUGGACUGAUACUGACACUGAGGUGCGAAAGCGUGGGGAGCAAACAUGAUUAGAUACCCCGGUAGUCCCUGUCUCUUAUAC